UGUAGCUGAGAGCUCACGUGUCAGAA
rnacentral:piRNA from 1 species